UUUAGAUUCUUUGUCUAAAUACUGGCUUGUACCUGUAGUACAUUUAGUUGCAUGUGCUCACGAUGUUCCCUAUAUGUUCCUGUUUAAUAUUAAAGGCAGAAUAUGUAGGUUCAGACAGUGAUGAUUCUUGUCAAUGCAUGGCGGUAUAGUGUAUUUUCACUCUGUUGCGUUGAGGAUGUGUCUGGUCUGUGUGCAUCACGCAAAGAAUAAUAUCAAGCAAUACAUCUCUGCAUUUGCAGAGUUAUCAGAAAACGAUGUUUUAUGGCUCUAUUUCGUAGCUUUUUUCCUCUCACUACUGUUUCAUGCUACUGCUUGAAAAAAAACAAAACAGAAAUGUAGCUUAUUUUACCUUUUUAAUAAACGGAAAGACAGGAAUAAACAAAUGGUUAGAAACAUCUGACAUGUGUUGAAUGAAACCUGGUCUAAAACAUCAGAAGAUGAAUGCCAUAAAUCUCAUAUUGUCUGAAAAAAAGUGUUCAAGACAUGUUAAGUGCAAAGGGAGGUCACACUAAAUACGACCACUUUAGUGUUUUUACACUGAAACGUUUGUUUUCUCCUGUUGUACAUACUUCAUAUAUAUCCAGAUUGGGUCUAAAUCACAGAGCUCAUUACAACCCUGCAAAAACACUAAAGCUGAAGGUGGCCUCAGACUUUUGCCCAGUCCUGUAAACCACAGCCACACCACACAAGAAGACAACACUACAGACACUGUACUGUACAAUACAAGGUUAACACGGUUUUGAGGAAACGCUAACUGCUAGGUGUCCGGUAGGGGCGUGCUCAGCCUCAGUUGGACGCUGUUGUGGCCGCAGAGAGAACAGACAAGAGAGGGGUCACGGAGGGGGGGUGGGGGGGCAGCAGCCUGUCCGUAGGGAAUAGAGAGAUCCUUUCCCGAAGAUGAAUGGAGGUAGAGGGGAGUCAGGGGAGUCCGUGUCAGACUCUUCAUUGUGUUCAUUUGUACCCCCCGCCCCCCACCUCCCCACAUGUGUCUUUCUGCUCCCCCAUCCCCUGUCCGUCUCCUCCCCCAUCCCCUGUCUCUCCUAUCAGCCCCUGGGGCCUUUGGCUGAUAAAAGAGACAGGGUGAGGUGAAGGAGGAGGGGGAUGGGGAGGGGGGGCAGGGGGAGUAGACCCGGUGCUGUCUGUCUGGGCCGUCUGCCCCACCAGGGCCAGGGCCCAGGUCAAAGGGCCUCCUCGCUGUGGGGCCGCGCUCUGCCCCCUCCCCUCCUUUGUCCGCCCCCCUCCUGUCCCUCCCCCUACCUCAGCAGGAAGCCCCCUCCCCCUUUCUGCAGGGAUGAGACAGCGGGCCUGCUGGGCCGGGCUGGGCUGAGGAUAAAGAUCAGGCUGGCUGCAGCGGAGCGGCAGAUGGCUGCCUGAGCCCUUAUGAGACGACACACUCCCAACACACACCCCCUGGCACCCCAAACCCCCAACUCCCCCGAGCAAGGCCUGGUGUUACCAACGGAGGCAGGAGGAAUAUUGUGGAGGGGGGGGGGCAGCAUUAGAAAAGCAUUAAACAGACAGUGCUGGGAUAAUUGUGGAGUUUUUCCGGUACAGGGGAAUGUCUCUUCUCUUCUGUACAGCCGUGCAUGUCCACGCUUCGUUAACCACGUCGAUAUUUUUUUAAGAAUCAUUUAUUAUUUUUAUGACUGUUGUUUUGUUUUUAUGAUAAAACGUACAAGAUAUUCUAGCGGUAGGCCUUAUUGCACAGGUUUGAUUUGUUUUUGCACUGUUUUGGGGAUGAUUUACUUUAAAGAAAAAAAAAAAUCUCCAGAAAAGCAAAUUUUGGAAUCAGUGCUCAUGGAUUUAUCUGAAGAGUCUGUAGUGAGAGACGUGAGGCGGGUGUAGUGAGCGGUGGGUUUUAGACUGUUUUAAUGGACUAGUGGCCUUGUCAGCUAUCCAUUUUUAGCUUUCUUGAAUAUUAGGCCUGCGGGGCCUGUAGAGGGCAUGCCGAGGACUUAAACGGUUGGAUUUUAAAAACAUCUUUGACACAGAAAAAUACAGCGACGACAAAAAAAAAAAAAAAAAAAAAAGAGCAUGGCACAGAGACUCUGUUCUCGUACUCGAGCCAUUCUUUGCAGUGGACAUUUUGCAAGUGUUUAAUAUCAACUGUAUUUGAUCUUGUUUUGUUUUUGAGACAAACUGAAUUAUUAUUAUUAAUAUUAUUAUUAUCCUGUGUAUCUGAAGACGUCAAUGAUGAAUAGAACAAAAACUUAUUGUAUGACCUCAUUAGCUAGUCAUAUGUGACCCGUAUUCCAGCUAACGUGUACUAUGAUAUUGACGUACCAAGCCAAUCAUGUACCAUUUGUAAAUGGGCUCUAUAUACAUAUAUAUAACCCAGCAUUCAGUAUAUUCACAAGUAUUUAAUACGUGAAAUAGAGCUGACGGAGGGACGUUAGUGCAAACAGAGGUGAAACAUUGGAAAACUGUGGUGGUUUGGGUAGAAGUUGGCCUUCCCAUGCAUUUCUGUCAGGAAUCACUGCAUUUGCUUGGGAGUAGACACACACACACACACACACACACACACACAUAUAUACAUGCACAUAUGCACACGCAGACACACUUAGUUUCCCAUUGAAUUUCUGUGGGCAGUUUUAAGUGUUUUUUUUUAAUUAUAUUUUCUCUGUCUUGCAUCAAGAAUUGAGAAGCUGUGUGGUAGAAACACACCCCAGAAGAUUAGUUAGAGAAGGGUGAUUUGACUCUCAAAUGUUUUUUGGAGGUGCAGGUCCUAAUCGUCUGUGUGUCCGCUCAAGGAAUUAUUUUUGUUUUAUUGUUUCAUGUCUUAUUUUAUUUCUAGGUUUCUAUUUAAAUUAUGUUUAACUCAUUUAUAUAUGAAUAUUUUUUUUCCUUCUGAUGGGUUCUUCUUUAGACAUCUAAAACAGUGGUGAUACCUAGCUUGCUGGCAAGUGUGUAAGUGUGGUAUUAACAUGUGAAUAGGAAAAAAAAAAAAAAACAGCCCAUCGGUCAGUUUGCAUUAUGCAAAGAGCGGCUCGCUCUCACAGCAGAUGGGGGCAGAUGGGGAUCACCCCCCCCCCCCCCCCGUCUGUGGCGCUGGAGCCUUCCCACCCCACGUGCCCUUAGACCCUUCUGCUCGGGUCACAUGACUCACUCGACGAUUGAAUGAGACGCACCUUCAUUUGCAUAUUCUCAUGAAUAUUUUUUUUUGGGGGGGGGGGGGGUAAGUGCACACAGACAGGCUGUAAAAUCGCAAUAGUGGGUCAUCUGUGAGCUCUUGUUUGUUUUGUUUUUCUAAGUGACUGAAAAAUAAACUAACAGG